rnacentral:rRNA from 1 species
UGGGGAAUUUUGGACAAUGGGCGCAAGCCUGAUCCAGCCAUGCCGCGUGCGGGAAGAAGGCCUUCGGGUUGUAAACCGCUUUUGUCAGGGAAGAAAUCUUCUGGGCUAAUACCUCGGGAGGAUGACGGUACCUGAAGAAUAAGCACCGGCUAACUACGUGCCAGCAGCCGCGGUAAUACGUAGGGUGCGAGCGUUAAUCGGAAUUACUGGGCGUAAAGCGUGCGCAGGCGGUCUUGCAAGACAGGUGUGAAAUCCCCGGGCUUAACCUGGGAACUGCACUUGUGACUGCAAGGCUGGAGUACGGCAGAGGGGGAUGGAAUUCCGCGUGUAGCAGUGAAAUGCGUAGAUAUGCGGAGGAACACCGAUGGCGAAGGCAAUCCCCUGGGCCUGUACUGACGCUCAUGCACGAAAGCGUGGGGAGCAAACAGGAUUAGAUACCCUGGUAGUCCACGCCCUAAACGAUGUCAACUGGUUGUUGGACGGCUUGCUGUUCAGUAACGAAGCUAACGCGUGAAGUUGACCGCCUGGGGAGUACGGCCGCAAGGUUG